AGAGGAGAGGAGGGCGGGGUGAGGCGCCGCGCGAGGCGGUGUUUGAAUCGAGCGGCGACCAACGAUUGCUACCUAGAAAACAAACUAAGCUGCUUAUGUUUUGAAGAGACAUCACGAGUACAUGAAACAAAGAAAUGCUAAACCAUUGGCCUGCGGUGAGAAAAAUAUACUGCCACGUUUAGUACUCAGCAAAGAUCGGAGCGGCAGCUGAACGCUUCAAAAUAAAACCGUCGGUAAGUAUUUUGAAGAGAGGCGAGUUCUCCUGAUAUCAUGGCCAGAAUUCCUCCCUCAUCCCAAACUACAAAAUUGAUCCUCAUCAUUAG